rnacentral:rRNA from 1 species
UACGAAGGGGGCUAGCGUUGCUCGGAAUUACUGGGCGUAAAGCGCACGUAGGCGGCUUUCUAAGUCGGGGGUGAAAUCCUGGAGCUCAACUCCAGAACUGCCUUCGAUACUGGAGAGCUUGAGUCCGGGAGAGGUGAGUGGAACUGCGAGUGUAGAGGUGAAAUUCGUAGAUAUCUGGAGGAACACCGGUGGCGAAGGCGGCAUCCUGGACCAACACUGACGCUGAGGAGCGAAAGCCAGGGGAGCAAACGGG